rnacentral:rRNA from 1 species
CGGACGAACGCUGGCGGCGUGCUUAACACAUGCAAGUCGAACGGUAAGGCCCUUCGGGGUACACGAGUGGCGAACGGGUGAGUAACACGUGGGUGAUCUGCCCUGCACUUCGGGAUAAGCUUGGGAAACUGGGUCUAAUACCGGAUAGGACCACGGUCUGCAUGGAUUGUGGUGGAAAGCUUUUGCGGUGUGGGAUGGGCCCGCGGCCUAUCAGCUUGUUGGUGGGGUGAUGGCCUACCAAGGCGACGACGGGUAGCCGGCCUGAGAGGGUGUCCGGCCACACUGGGACUGAGAUACGGCCCAGACUCCUACGGGAGGCAGCAGUGGGGAAUAUUGCACAAUGGGCGCAAGCCUGAUGCAGCGACGCCGCGUGGGGGAUGACGGCCUUCGGGUUGUAAACCUCUUUCAGCAUCGACGAAGCGCAAGUGACGGUAGAUGCAGAAGAAGCACCGGCCAACUACGUG